rnacentral:rRNA from 1 species
UACGGAGGGGGCUAGCGUUGUUCGGAAUUACUGGGCGUAAAGCGCCCGUAGGCGGCUUUGCAAGUUAGAGGUGAAAGCCCAGGGCUUAACCCUGGAAUUGCCUUUAAAACUGCAUCGCUAGAAUUGUGGAGAGGUAAGUGGAAUUCCGAGUGUAGAGGUGAAAUUCGUAGAUAUUCGGAAGAACACCAGUGGCGAAGGCGACUUACUGGACACAUAUUGACGCUGAGGUGCGAAAGCGUGGGGAGCAAACAGG